CGAGUUUGAUCCUGGCUCAGGACGAACGCUGGCGGCGUGCNUAAUACAUGCAAGUCGAGCGGACAGAAGGGAGCUUGCUCCCGGAUGUUAGCGGCGGACGGGUGAGUAACACGUGGGUAACCUGCCUGUAAGACUGGGAUAACUCCGGGAAACCGGAGCUAAUACCGGAUAGUUCCUUGAACCGCAUGGUUCAAGGAUGAAAGACGGUUUCGGCUGUCACUUACAGAUGGACCCGCGGCGCAUUAGCUAGUUGGUGAGGUAACGGCUCACCAAGGCGACGAUGCGUAGCCGACCUGAGAGGGUGAUCGGCCACACUGGGACUGAGACACGGCCCAGACUCCUACGGGAGGCAGCAGUAGGGAAUCUUCCGCAAUGGACGAAAGUCUGACGGAGCAACGCCGCGUGAGUGAUGAAGGUUUUCGGAUCGUAAAGCUCUGUUGUUAGGGAAGAACAAGUGCAAGAGUAACUGCUUGCACCUUGACGGUACCUAACCAGAAAGCCACGGCUAACUACGUGCCAGCAGCCGCGGUAAUACGUAGGUGGCAAGCGUUGUCCGGAAUUAUUGGGCGUAAAGGGCUCGCAGGCGGUUUCUUAAGUCUGAUGUGAAAGCCCCCGGCUCAACCGGGGAGGGUCAUUGGAAACUGGGAAACUUGAGUGCAGAAGAGGAGAGUGGAAUUCCACGUGUAGCGGUGAAAUGCGUAGAGAUGUGGAGGAACACCAGUGGCGAAGGCGACUCUCUGGUCUGUAACUGACGCUGAGGAGCGAAAGCG
rnacentral:rRNA from 1 species